UUAAGUCUCUUAAGUCUCCUGAAGGAACGUUGAAGACGACGACGUUGAUAGGUCGGGUGUGUAAGCGCAGCGAUGCGUUGAGCUAACCGAUACUAAUGAACCGUGAGGCUUAACCUU
rnacentral:rRNA from 1 species